rnacentral:rRNA from 1 species
GUAGGGUGCGAGCGUUAUCCGGAAUCAUUGGGCGUAAAGAGCUCGUAGGCGGUUCAGCAAGUCGGCUGUGAAAUUCCGAGGCUCAACCUCGGAACUGCAGUCGAUACUGCUGUGACUCGAGUCCGGUAGAGGAGAAUGGAAUUCCCGGUGUAGCGGUGAAAUGCGCAGAUAUCGGGAGGAACACCAGUAGCGAAGGCGGUUCUCUGGGCCGGCACUGACGCUGAGGAGCGAAAGCGUGGGUAGCAAACAGGAUUAGAUACCCUGGUAGUCCCACGCCCGUAAACGUUGGAUACUAGGUGUGGGGUUCCCGACCAACGGUCCCCGUGCCGAAGCUAACGCAUUAAGUAUCCCCGCCUGGGAGUACGGCCGCAAGGCUA